rnacentral:rRNA from 1 species
AGAUUGAACGCUGGCGGCAGGCCUAACACAUGCAAGUCGAGCGGCAGCACGGGUACUUGUACCUGGUGGCGAGCGGCGGACGGGUGAGUAUUGCCUAGGAAUCUGCCUGGUAGUGGGGGAUAACGCUCGGAAACGGACGCUAAUACCGCAUACGUCCUACGGGAGAAAGCAGGGGACCUUCGGGCCUUGCGCUAUCAGAUGAGCCUAGGUCGGAUUAGCUAGUUGGUGGGGUAAUGGCUCACCAAGGCGACGAUCCGUAACUGGUCUGAGAGGAUGAUCAGUCACACUGGAACUGAGACACGGUCCAGACUCCUACGGGAGGCAGCAGUGGGGAAUAUUGGACAAUGGGCGAAAGUCUGAUCCAGCCAUGCCGCGUGUGUGAAGAAGGUCUUCGGAUUGUAAAAGCACUUUAAGUUGGAGGAAGGCAGUUACCUAAUACGUAUCUGUUUUGACGUUACCGACAGAAUAAGCAACCGGCUAAACUCUGUGCCAGCACG